rnacentral:rRNA from 1 species
CCUACGGGUGGCUGCAGUGAGGAAUAUUGGUCAAUGGCCGCAAGGCUGAACCAGCCAAGCCGCGUGAAGGACGAAGGUGCCAAGCAUUGUAAACUUCUUUUGUCAAGGGACAAAAUCCGGAUCGAGAGCCUUACCGCGGGUACUUGAAGAAAAAGCAUCGGCUAACUCCGUGCCAGCAGCCGCGGUAAUACGGAGGAUGCGAGCGUUAUCCGGAUUUAUUGGGUUUAAAGGGUGCGUAGGCGGACUGUUAAGUCAGCGGUAAAAGCCCGGGGCUCAACCCCGGCGAGCCGUUGAAACUGGCGGUCUUGAGAGGGCGAGAGGUAUGCGGAAUGCGCAGUGUAGCGGUGAAAUGCUUAGAUAUUGCGCAGAACUCCGAUUGCGAAGGCAGCAUACCGGCGGCGAUCUGACGCUGAGGCACGAAAGCGUGGGUAUCGAACAGGAUUAGAUACCCUUGUAGUC